rnacentral:rRNA from 1 species
ACGCUCGACACCUACGGAGGCAGCAGUGGGGAAUAUUGCACAAUGGGGGAAACCCUGAUGCAGCGACGCCGCGUGGAGGAAGAAGGUCUUCGGAUUGUAAACUCCUGUUGUUGGGGAAAAAGAGGAUGGUACCCAACAAGGAAGUGACGGCUAACUACGUGCUAGCAGCGCGGUAAUCUGAGCGGGCUGGCAAGGC